rnacentral:rRNA from 1 species
GACGAACGCUGGCGGCGUGCCUAAAACAUGCAAGUCGAACGAGAUAGCAAUAUCUAGUGGCGAACGGCGGAGUAAGACGUAAGCAACGUGCCCCGAAGUCUGGGAUAUACAGUCGAAAGACUGGGCAAUACCGGAUACGGCCCUUGAAAGACAUCUUUUGAGGAUUAAAUGGUUUUUCGCUCCGGGAGCGGCUUACGGGCCUAUCAGCUAGUUGGUGGGGUAAUAGCCUACCAAGGCAACGACGGGUAGGGGGUCUGAGAGGAUGACCCCCCCGAGUGGGACUGAGACACGGCCCACACACCUACGGGUGGCAGCAGUUGGGAAUCUUGCACAAUGGGGGAAACCCGUGAUGCAGCGACGCCGCGUGGAGGACGAAGGAUUUAGGUCUGUAAACUCCUUUUUACCAGGAAAGACUUAGGACGGUACCUGGUGAAUAAGCUCCGGCUAACUACGUG